rnacentral:rRNA from 1 species
UACGAAGGUCCCUAGCGUUGUUCGGAAUUACUGGGCGUAAAGGGUGCGUAGGUGGCGCCGUAAGUCGGGUGUGAAAUUUCGGAGCUUAACUCCGAAACUGCAUUCGAUACUGCGGUGCUUGAGGACUGGAGAGGAGACUGGAAUUCAUGGUGUAGCAGUGAAAUGCGUAGAGAUCAUGAGGAAGACCAGUGGCGAAGGCGGGUCUCUGGACAGUUCCUGACACUGAGGCACGAAGGCCAGGGGAGCAAACGGG